AUUGUAAAAGUGUUUAGGAAAAAAAUAUAGUUUUCAGUUAGAGAAUAGAAAAAAAUUAAAAAAGUGUUCAAGUGUUAGAAAAAAAAGAAUUUAAGUAUACUUGAAAACUGCAAUUUGACCGCAUUUCUUAAAUGCGUGUAUGUGUGUAUAUGUAUUAUUAAGUUUGUGUUCGUGUGUGAACGUGAAAAUUGCCAUUAAAUACAGUUAUAGGUCAAACACCCCAACGCUUUAAAAAAAAUUAUACCAUAUAGAAAAAAUUGUACAUAUAACUACAACACAAAUAAAAACCACGACUAAACACAUAAAUCCGGUAAACAUUUAAUAAAAGUCAAUAUAAUAAAUACAUAUAAUAAGCGUGUGUACCUAAAUAUGUAUGCAUGCAUAUUCUCUAAAUAAAUAUUUGCAUAUUUUAAAAA